rnacentral:rRNA from 1 species
CCUACGGGCGGCAGCAGUGGGGAAUAUUGCACAAUGGGGGAAACCCUGAUGCAGCGACGCCGCGUGAGUGAAGAAGUAAUUCGUUAUGUAAAGCUCUAUCAGCAGGGAAGAAAAUGACGGUACCUGAGUAAGAAGCCCCGGCUAACUACGUGCCAGCAGCCGCGGUAAUACGUAGGGGGCAAGCGUUAUCCGGAUUUACUGGGUGGAAAGGGAGCGGAGACGGCAGUGCAAGGCUGGAGUGAAAGGCGGGGGCUCAACCCCCGGACUGCUCUGGAAACUGUACGGCUGGAGUGCAGGAGAGGUAAGUGGAAUUCCUAGUGUAGCGGUGAAAUGCGUAGAUAUUAGGACGAACACCAGUGGCGAAGGAGGCUUACUGGACUGUAACUGACGUUGAGGCUCGAAAGCGUGGGGAGCAAACAGGAUUAGAUACCCCUGUAGUC